GAGAGACGGGAUUUCACUAUGUUGGUCAGGCUUGUCUGUAACUCCUAACCUCGUGAUCCACCUGCCUCGGCCUCCCAAAGUGCUGGGAUUACAGGCGUGAGCCACCCCACCCGGCCUACACCAGACCUAUGAUUCAGAUCUGUCAGCACUUUUGGGGAUGUGGGUCUUGCCCUGGCCUUCAGUUCCUCUCCAGAUUAAGAACCUGCAUGCUUUGUCCACAGACAGAUGGCUACAACAAAGCUGCACAACUUGGUGGAUCCCAACUGCCAGUGGUCAGUCUAUGCAGCCAGGGCCCUGUCACUAAAAUCUGUGGGCUGUUCAGUGUGAAGAUGAGGAGUGACUGACAGUCCAACGUCAGGGCAAGGAUGACUUAGGGAUCUUCACCCAGAGGAAUACUAUGUGCAACUGUUAAAAUGUUUACAGGGUGUGUGGGAACCACAGAAAAUGCUUCUGUUUCAAUGUCACAAGACAGAAAGCAGGAAUGCAAAGUUGCGUUCACAGUGUGAAAAAGAAAGUGCUUGGGAAAAAGUCCAGAAGGAACUACACCAACACGUGGCCAGGCAUGAUGGCUCAGUCCUGUAACCCAGCACUUUGCACGGCCACAGCAGGAGGAUCGCUUGAGGCCAGGAGUUCCAGACCAGCCUGGCCAACAGAGGAAGACCUCAUCUCUACUAAAAAUUAAAAAUUUGGCUGGGUGUAGUGGUGUGCGCCUGUACCUCCAGCUACUAGGCAAGGCUGAGGUGGAAGGAGUUCGAGGCUGCAUGGGCCAUGAUCGUGCCACAAUGCUCCAGCCUGGGCAACAGCAAGGCACUGUCUCAAAAUAAACAAAUAAAAAUAAAAAUUAAUACAC